rnacentral:rRNA from 1 species
CAGAUUUACUUCGGUAAUGACGUUGGGAAAGCGAGCGGCGGAUGGGUGAGUAACACGUGGGGAACCUGCCCCUAAGGCUGGGAUACCAUUUGGAAACAGGUGCUAAUACCGGAUAAUAAAGCAGAUCGCAUGAUCAGCUUUUGAAAGGCGGCGUAAGCUGUCGCUAAGGGAUGGCCCCGCGGUGCAUUAGCUAGUUGGUAAGGUAACGGCUUACCAAGGCGACGAUGCAUAGCCGAGUUGAGAGACUGAUCGGCCACAUUGGGACUGAGACACGGCCCAAACUCCUACGGGAGGCAGCAGUAGGGAAUCUUCCACAAUGGACGCAAGUCUGAUGGAGCAACGCCGCGUGAGUGAAGAAGGUUUUCGGAUCGUAAAGCUCUGUUGUUGGUGAAGAAGGAUAGAGGUAGUAACUGGCCUUUAUUUGACGGUAAUCAACCAGAAAGUCACGGCUAACUACGUGC